rnacentral:lncRNA from 10 species
GUCAUGCCUACCGGGAGUUACACACCAACGAAUUUCUAAAGAAAGCCUAACAAAAAGGCAAAUAAAGCAAGAGGAUUCUCACAGACUCACUGCUGCAGGGCUUUAAAAUCUCAGCCUCAUCUAUUGAACACUAGCCCAGCUUCCCUCAACCCCUCAAAGCAGCAAGAUUUAUGCAAGCCUCCUGUGACAGCAGAGCUUCUGUCCCAUCAGUAGCCUUAUCAAAUCUGUCCUAUAGCCCCAUCAGACCUGAGCGAACACCUGCUUUCCAGGUGCAAGACCAUAGAGGCUGAGAAGGAAGAGAAGUCAGCAACAGAAAUAACCUCACUAACAGCAAGACCCCCAGAGAAGCUAAAAACAUUCCAGGCAGGGCUCACAACAGCUCUCAGAGCAGAAUUCCCAAGGCAUCACUUAUGGUUUCUACAAGAGCUUUUGCCUUGCUGUUCCUUCCCCUACAUGCGACCUUUCAGCCCCAGUGAGUCCAGAGGCUUUCUGCAGAGAGAACUGAGUCAGACUGUGAAGAAGAGGCUUUGGGCAGCUAAGAGCUCCAAAGCAGAGGAAGGAUGAAGGGUGGCUGCCAACCCCACUGCUUUGUGGAAGUUCCACACCUUGCUGAGGACACCUCAUGCCUCUCAUAGGAUCCUGACCUGCUGACGUACAGACAGAAUAUGUGAGAAAUACAGGAAUGAUAUAUCCCAGAUCAAACUGCUUCUUAAGCUCGUGUUAUGGAAGAAAAAGACAUAUGCAACAUAAUGGCAGCUCACUGCAGCUGAAGUAAUAUAAGUCAUAAGACCCCCAUUUCAAGAGGGUCCUGCUGCAUACCCAGAAGGAAGGAAUACUGCACAGAGAAGCUAAGAGGAAUUUAAACAGACAGACCUUGCUGGACUUUCCUACUCAGUCUAUUAACAUUAGAUCAUACCCUUUCUGCCCAGUUAUUUUUCUCCAUGGCUGUCCGUACUUCAUUGAACCCAAGCCUAAAAAUGGGCAGUUUCCCCGUAUCUUUGGGUCUUUAUUCUGAAGGCUCCGUGUAAAACUGUAAUCAAAUAAAUCUGUAUACCUUUUC